ensembl:lncRNA
AGGAAAUGCAGGCAGAAAGCAGCCUCACAGACAAAUGGAAUGGAUUUCACAGCACCGCCAUUUGUUGCCUCUCCUUCCGCUGUGCCGCUUACACCACGGAAACAGCCCUGCAGCCCUAAUGGGAAACCUGUCCUACCCGGGCUCUAUGACUUUAGGAAGGAUAUCGUCGGUGCUGUUGUGGCUUCAGUGCUCAACCACAGCUCCGGGUGUCAGAGCGUGCAGCAGAUAAGGACAGCUCCCAGUCAGGUGUUCUUUUUCCAGAGGUCAGUGGAAGUCCCGUUCUCUCAAGGCAGCAGCACACUGAGAAUCAUUGCUGUGCUUUUCAGAGGUGAGAAGCUGCAUGUAGGAGGGAAGUCUAAAAGCAAGGUGAGG